rnacentral:misc_RNA from 1 species
AGUAACUCGGUGGCAAUAAAAUCUGACUGACAUUAUUCCAAUCGAUAUGAUAUCUAUGGGUUUGAAAACCUAAUAAGACAGAAUAAAUCAAAAGUUCACAGGCAAGUCAUUGUUCAAUUGGCAAAUAUUACUACAUGGUAAUUACAAAGCAACUUGUCUGAUCAACGUUGAUUGUGCUCUUGAGAUUUCUGCGUUACCAGGAAGGUAAGAUAAGAAUGGUUCGUAAUGAUAUAACAGAUAGUAGUUAGCAUAAAUUGAGGGACUACCAGCCUAACCUGGAAACCGCAUUAAUUUCAGUCGGAAAAACAUGUAAGGAUAUGUCAAACGUUAU